ensembl:snRNA U6 U6 spliceosomal RNA
GUCCUAGCUUCAGCAACACACGUACUAAAAUCGAAACAAUACGGAGAAGAUGAGCAUGGCCCCUGCGCAAGGAUGACACGCAAACUGGCGAAGUGCUCCAUAGCUUA